ACUGGAUAAAUGCUCUCAACUGUAAAAUUGUUAGCUUCAAAACUAUUGAAUUUGUGACUGAAGAAAAUGGAAGAAAAACACUAUUUAAAAAGUAAAUGAUAGUAAAUUGAAGAUGUUUGAAAUGCUGACUGCAAUUCUGGGUAUUUAUACCUCAAAGGAAAUAGAAAGCAGCAAAAAGUACAGUUAGAAGGAUGGGGAACUGAUAAGCAUUAAUGAAUAAAUAGGACAUAUUUUAAGUCAGUAAGAACAAAUACAUUUUGAGAAUUUUACAAAAAUCACCACAAUAACUAUGCUGGGUAACAUGAAUUGAAUUUGGAAGUAACGAAGUGCUUUAUACAAAGUGCAGGUUGACAGAUUGCAGCGUUCACUAAGUGACUUGGGGGAGAAGAAGGUAGAACAUUCAUAAUUGUGUUCACUACUUUUUCAUUAAUCUAAAAUGUAUUGAAAUCUCCUUUGACUUCUGAUAGUUUGGGAAACAUAGAAAGAGGCAGACUGCCUGUCUCAGAUUUACAUAGGAAAGGGUAGACUGCUUUACAGAAGUCUGAUGUGUUGCCAAAAAGGAAGUGUGGAGAUUUCAGGUGUCCUUUGCUUCUCUCUUUCUCUCUUGCUCUCUCUCUCUCUCUCUCUUUUUCUUCUCCCCCAGCUGCUCCAAGGUUCUCCUGAACUGAUUGAGCCCAACAUCUUCACAGCAGAUUGGCGUGCGGUACUUCUCUCAUCAGCUGCAAAUACAUUAGCACCAGAUGAUAGAAAAGGUGUUGUUGGCACUUCUGACAUAGCAGAAGGGAUGACAUAUGAACAGUUGCAGGUAAGCUUUAUAUAUAUAUAUGUAUUAAUGUAUUUUGUUGCUUUUAAUAAAGGUAAUUUACUGAAAUUAAUUUAUUUUAAUUUGUAGACCAUAAUUGAAGAGAUUCUAGAGGAAAGUAGUUACUACAAUUUCUCUUCAAACGGGUGAGUCUGAGUGUACAAUUUGAAAAGAAAAAGUUAAUUAAGAUGUGUUAAAAGU
rnacentral:lncRNA from 1 species